rnacentral:rRNA from 1 species
AACGAACGCUGGCGGCAGGCCUAACACAUGCAAGUCGAGCGAGAAGGUACUUCGGUACUGGGCAGCGGCGGACGGGUGAGUAACGCGUGGGAAUAUACCUUUUGGUGGGGGACAACAGUUGGAAACGACUGCUAAUACCGCAUACGCCCUUCGGGGGAAAGAUUUAUCGCCAAAAGAUUAGCCCGCGUAAGAUUAGAUAGUUGGUAAGGUAACGGCUUACCAAGUCUACGAUCUUUAGCUGGUCUGAGAGGAUGAUCAGCCACACUGGAACGUGAGACACGGUCCAGACUCCUACGGGAGGCAGCAGUGGGGAAUAUUGCGCAAUGGGGGAAACCCUGACGCAGCCAUGCCGCGUGAGUGAAGAAGGCCUUAGGGUUGUAAAGCUCUUUCAAUAGUGAAGAUGAUGACGGUAACUAUAGAAGAAGCUCCGGCUAACUU